rnacentral:rRNA from 1 species
AUUGAACGCUGGCGGCAGGCUUAACACAUGCAAGUCGAGCGGGGGAAGGCAGCUUGCUACCGGACCUAGCGGCGGACGGGUGAGUAAUGCUUAGGAAUCUGCCUAUUAGUGGGGGACAACAUCUCGAAAGGGAUGCUAAUACCGCAUACGUCCUACGGGAGAAAGCAGGGGAUCUUCGGACCUUGCGCUAAUAGAUGAGCCUAAGUCGGAUUAGCUAGUUGGUGGGGUAAAGGCCUACCAAGGCGACGAUCUGUAGCGGGUCUGAGAGGAUGGUCCGCCACACUGGGACUGAGACACGGCCCAGACUCCUGCGGGAGGCAGCAGUGGGGAAUAUUGGACAAUGGGGUGAACCCUGAUCCAGCCAUGCUGCGUGUGUGAAGAAGGCCUUAUGGUUGUAAAGCACUUUAAGCGAGGAGGAGGCUACUUUAGUUAAUACCUAGAGAUAGUGGACGUUACUCGCAGAAUAAGCACCGGCUAACUCUGUGCCAGCCGCCGCGGUAA